UGCGUCUAAGAUCUGUGCAGUAU
rnacentral:miRNA from 2 species